rnacentral:rRNA from 1 species
GCUAGUUGUAUUAUUAGUUAAUGCAAGAUCGACUACGUCGACUAAAGUUCUAGGUAGAAUAAUGAUGAUGACAAUUUUUUACCUAUAUGUCUUGACCAAGUCUCGUGCCAGCAGUCGCGGUAAUACGUGGAAGACUAGUGUUAUUCAUCUUUAUUAGGUUUAAAGGGUACCUAGACGGUAUUUCUAGCCCAAAAUAGGGUACGGAUUUACUAGAGUUUUAUGUGAGGAGGGGAGUACUCGUGGAGUAGAGAUGAAAUUUUGUUAUACUAUGAGGUAACUGGUGGCGGCGAAAGCAACCUUCUAUGUAUAAACUGACGUUGAGGGACGAAGGCUUGGGUAGCAAAUAGGAUUAGAUACCCUAGUAGUCCAAGCAGACAAUUCUGAAUGCCAUAGAUUAGAUUAUUUUUGGUCUAUAAAUGAAAGUGUAAGCAUUCCACCUUAGGAGUAAUGUGGCAACACAGGAACUGAAAUCAUUAGACCGUUUCUGAAACCAGUAGUGAAGUAUGUUAUUUAAAUUGAUGGUCCACAAAAAACCUUACCACAACUUGAAUAUUUUUAAAUUAAUACAAGAGUUGCACGGCUGUCUUCAGUUAAUGUCGUGAGAUUUUGGUUAACUCCAUUAAUUAACGUAAACCCUUACUUUA